CACGUAGGUGGCAAGCGUUAUCCGGAAUUAUUGGGCGUAAAGAGCGCGCAGGUGGUUGAUUAAGUCUUAUGUGAAAGCCCACGGCUUAACCGUGGAGGGUCAUUGGAAACUGGUCGACUUGAGUGCAGAAGAGGGAAGUGGAAUUCCAUGUGUAGCGGUGAAAUGCGUAGAGAUAUGGAGGAACACCAGUGGCGAAGGCGGCUUCCUGGUCUGUAACUGACACUGAGGCGCGAAAGCGUGGGGAGCAAACAGGAUUAGAUACCCU
rnacentral:rRNA from 1 species